rnacentral:rRNA from 1 species
UACGGAGGAUGCGAGCGUUAUCCGGAUUUAUUGGGUUUAAAGGGUGCGUAGGCGGUCCGUUAAGUCAGCGGUAAAAUUGCGGGGCUCAACCCCGUCGAGCCGUUGAAACUGUCAGACUUGAGUUGGCGAGAAGUACGCGGAAUGCGCGGUGUAGCGGGGAAAUGCAUAGAUAUCGCGCAGAACUCCGAUUGCGAAGGCAGCGUACCGGCGCCACACUGACGCUGAGGCACGAAAGCGUGGGGAUCGAACAGG